GACCUGGUCGGGCGGUCCGCCUAACGGUGUGUACUGUCUGACUGGGCCUUACCUCUUGGUGAGCCGGCGUGCGCUUUAUUGUGUGCGUCGGGGAACCAGGACUUUUACCUUGAAAAAAUUAGAGUGUUUAAAGCAGGCAUUUUGCUUGAAUACAUUAGCAUGGAAUAAUAAAAUAGGACG
rnacentral:rRNA from 1 species